rnacentral:rRNA from 1 species
AAGGGUACGCAGGCUGUUGAAAAAGUCAGAUGUUAAAUUCCGGGGCUCAACCCCGGCCCGCAUCUGAAACUUUUCGACUUGAGUUAAGGAGAGGAAAGUGGAAUUCCUAGUGUAGCGGUGAAAUGCGUAGAUAUUAGGAGGAAUAUCCGUGGCGAAGGCGACUUUCUGGACGAUGACUGACGCUGAGGCACGAAAGCGUGGGGAGCAAACAGGAUUAGAUACCCUGGUAGUCCACGCGGUAAAC